CCUACGUGGGGCAGCAGUGGGGAAUAUUGGACAAUGGGCGAAAGCCUGAUCCAGCCAUGCCGCGUGUGUGAAGAAGGCCUUCGGGUUGUAAAGCACUUUCAGUGGGGAAGAAAGCCUUGGGGCUAAUACCCUCGAGGAAGGACAUCACCCACAGAAGAAGCACCGGCUAACUCCGUGCCAGCAGCCGCGGAAUACGGAGGGUGCGAGCGUUAAUCGGAAUUACUGGGCGUAAAGCGCGCGUAGGCGGUCUGAUAAGCCGGUUGUGAAAGCCCCGGGCUCAACCUGGGAACGGCAUCCGGAACUGUCAGGCUAGAGUGCAGGAGAGGAAGGUAGAAUUCCCGGUGUAGCGGUGAAAUGCGUAGAGAUCGGGAGGAAUACCAGUGGCGAAGGCGGCCUUCUGGACUGACACUGACGCUGAGGUGCGAAAGCGUGGGUAGCAAACAGGAUUAGAUACCCCAGUAGUC
rnacentral:rRNA from 1 species